rnacentral:lncRNA from 1 species
GAUUUUAGAUAAAAAGCACAUGUCAAAUAAUGUAUUAUCAUGUGUUUUAUGUUCAGAAGUACCUGGAAAAAAAAGACAUGCCAAAAAGAUGAAGUUAUCAGAGUGAAAGAAUGCACAGUAAGGAAACAGAGUAAAUGGAUCUCUCUGUUGAGGAGGAAAGAAGCCCUGCUCGAGAAAUUGCCAACUGGUUGGUUAUUCUUUGCUGGCCUUCACUCAGCUUCAGAAAAGACUUGGUUUUAUAAGGAUUCAGCUGUCACUGCAAAAUACACAGUGCUGCUCUGUGCAUCCAACCUGACAGAAAACUAUCUCCAAGCAAAAUCAGCAAGUCCUCCUGUCACAAAGUAGUUACCUCUGUAAUCUAUUGAUACUGGAAACUCUCACCCAGAAAAUUCCUACUGCUUCAGUAGUUAAAUGGUCCUUUUUAUUGUGUAUUGUAUUUUUAAGAGCCCUCUUUGAUACACAGUUUGCAAUUGGUGUACUUGAAGUAGAGGCAAAAAUUAUUCUAGGUGGCAGAUGGUUCUAGAUAUUCUACAUGCUGGACAAAGCAGGWUAUAACUCAACCAUAAUGAGGUCUACUGAUAUCUCUUCAUCUUGCUUUUGAACUCGUUUAAAGGAAUUUGUCUCAGGGAUCCACUCUUGUUUUCUCCAGGCAAUCGCAGCCUUUGCUCUAGAUCCAUACUUAGAUGAGGGUGGGGAGCAGACUGCUCAGCAAAUUAGCCGGAGCAUUCACCCUGAGCUCGGGUGGUCCUAGUUAAAUGAGAAUUUGGGUUCUCAUCUAGCCCUGUUUUAGUCUGUCUACGUCAGCACUGCUUCAGGCAUCUUAAACAGGUUAUUUUGUUUCGAGAAAACAGCAGCUGAGGUAAUMAUUUUUAUUUUGCGAUGAAGCAGAAAAUUUGGUAGAAACAAACUGUUAUAAUGUGCUUUUAUGCCUUUUUCUUCUCCCUCCUCCAUAGUUUCCAUUCCUGAGUUCUCUUCAGGCGCGUUUUCCCUGUCUUGAAAGCUGACAGGCUUCAGAGGAUACUCAAAUAUCUGAUUGCAAUGAGACAGUUACUUUCCUGGCAUGCAUCUCCUUGAAAUGCACCAAAUCACAGCUAUCUUUCAUAGGGAUCAAGGCCUGAAUUCUAGAAAGUGCUGAGCCAUCCAGACACUCGUUGCUUUGUACCUGACUGAUUCUUGGCCUAACAGGAGGCUUUUCUUUUAUUCUAGAGGAAAUUAAUAAGAGGCUUGACACUAUUGCUUG